CGCACAGGCACGUCUUCUGACUGAACGCAACGCCAGACUUGCCCUCAGAGCGCUGAGCAGCCACAGAGAAGAAGGAGCCAGGGCCCUGCCUCACCUAAGUGUCCCUGUCUGACUGCCUCCGGCGCCCGAAGACAGACAGUGUGUGGUGCCCGAAGAAGCCCAAGGUCAGGUGCGAUAAACAGAUAAAUUGUCCACACACCACCUACACGUCAGAGAACUUCCUUGGUGAAAGCAAUCAGCUUCAAGCCUAAGUUCACCAGUAGGUGGCAGCAAUGCAUUGGCCAGGUACCAGUCUCAGUUUAGUGUAUCUAGGCUGGAAUGGUUUAUUCCAGCUUAGUUCCCCCUCCGUGGAGGGAUGGAUUGUUCCCACAUCCUGCAGCAUGGGUGGAGAAGGAAGUUAGAGUCAGUGUAGCCUCCCCCCUGCAAGGGGAAGGCUGUGUAAUAGCCUUCAGGAGAUCCCCUGCAUAGGAUCCCCUGCGGCUGACACAUUGAUCACAUUCUCAGACUGAGCACCUGCAGCCAGCUGGAUGAAGAAAGCAGACAACCCCCAGAGUUCCAGAAAGAAAGCAUCCCCUGAGAAACUGUCUGUGAGUAAAGUCCAGAGACCUAGGAGAAGCCACUCCUCCUCAGCUAGGCUGUCCCCAUACAGCAGAAGUACAGAAAAGUGCAGAAGAUUAGUUCCUGCCACAAUUACAGAGCUACCAAGCAGAUGUAUUAUCCUCACACUUAAAGUGCAGAAGUGUUUAUUCCUGCCAAUGAUUGCCAAAACCUGCGAUUACAAACAAAGCUGUAUACUGCUUGGUAACAAGUUAUCUUCAGUAAAGAAACGUUUGAGCUUCAUCUAAAGGUCUGGACAUCA